rnacentral:rRNA from 1 species
GUACUGGAAGGUGUAUCUANAAUUAUAUU